rnacentral:lncRNA from 1 species
CUUCUGAAUAGAAAUACUGCCCCUAAAAGUUAAACUAGUGUUGUCCAAAGCAAAGCAAAGGGUAAAGUCAAGCUCCUUGGGCAUGAUGCUGAAAAGAGACAGUAUGAGACAUGCGAAGUUGUAAUGUAGAGGGCCUUUAGGAUGCAGUGAUAUUUUCCUGAAUUGGGGCUCAGUAGCUGGUAUUUUGGGGAGCGCGGUCGAAGUCACAUCAGGGUUUUGUGAGAAUGGUUGAACAAGGAAUCAGCAGGGGAACUGUAAAGCUUUCUUUGCUUAGGCUUAGUCGGUUGUACAACCCUGAGAUCUCAGAAAAAUGAAACUAUGGAUAAAGCAUCCCUUUGCUUCACUUCAGCUGUUUUACUUUGUCACAAAAAAAAAGUUGGAGCACUCUAUUGGAAAGAGCCAAGUGUUUUGGUUGCUGUAGACAUGUAAGAUGGAGCUCAGUGCUUUCCACACGCACCUGGGGACUUGACUCGUGGAAGCCGUAUCCUGCCAGAAACCAGUCCUUAGCCAAGCAAUUCUGGACAAUUCCUGGCAUACAGGAGAGCUGAUAAAGUUGACAGGAGCAUGACCAAGGCUUUGUGUGUGUGUGUUUGUACAGCUUGUGCUUGUCAGGAGGCAGAACUUUCUUUCACUGGAGUAAUACCCUGGUGGAUGCUGCACUGUUGAUGUACGGAGGUUGGCUGUUUGCUCCUUGGUCACUCUCUGCCCCGUGGGCAGGGUGCUGAGCCACCAGGACCUCCCUAGACCCAGCGUGGCCAUCCCUCCAGCACUACCUGCAGGGAGAGGAGCUCAGAGAGCAGCAGCAUCUUCACUGUGUGCUUGACCCAGAUAGUGACAGGAAGAAAAAAGUUCCUUGUGGUUUUGCUACAAACACUGGUGUUUUGCUUUCCACCGAGCAGCGGUGAGCCAAGGAGGCAGCUGCUGCAGCAGGCCUACACUUUUUUGCAAGAAAGUCACAGUGCCACGUGUGCUUGCUGAUUCAAUCUGGGAGGAGGACAGAGACACGGACCUGUCAGUGACAGCACUGAUCCGCCUUCAGCUCCAUGGAUGUGUUAGCACUCAAGAGGCAGGCACUGUAGCUGCAGUUGGCAGAAUGUCUUCUCGAGGUGGUCAAGGAGGGGCACUCCUCUCCAAAGCACAAGGUUGGCGUAAAACUUGCUGUCAGCUGCAAAAGGAAUUAAUUUUUGCCUGUACGUUAAGGGUAGGCUAUAGUUGGUGUUGCUGUUAAACAGUUGAACUCUUCCCUGGCUGCAAGCCUCUUUGUCCCACACAAAAAGCUUGUAGAAGAAGACAAAACCAAUUUCAUAACACUGUAAUGAAUAUGAGAAAAGCAAUUUUCCUAAUGUCACCCUGAAAUCCUGAGCAGUGAAUUUCAAACAACUGAAGGUCUCCUAACUUAAUUGUGUGUCUGUUCAUUAAAACUGCAUAUAGGAUCACAAAGCUUUGCAGAAAUAUUAAGCUACUGGAUUUAAGGCUCACUCUCAGAAUAGGGCCUCCUUUCUACCCUAAAUCCAUGAAAAUUAUCACAC